rnacentral:rRNA from 1 species
UACAUAGGGUGCGAGCGUUGUUCGGAAUUAUUGGGCGUAAAGGGCGCGUAGGCGGUGCGGCAAGUCAGCUGUGAAAUCUCCUGGCUCAACUGGGAGCUUGCAGGCGAAACUGCCGUGCUGGAGUGUGGGAGAGGUGAGUGGAAUUCCCGGUGUAGCGGUGAAAUGCGUAGAGAUCGGGAGGAACACCAGAGGCGAAGGCGGCGACCUGGACAGGCACUGACGCUCAUGCACGAAAGCGUGGGGAGCGAACAGG